rnacentral:rRNA from 1 species
GACGAACGCUGGCGGCGUGCUUAACACAUGCAAGUCGAACGGAAAGGCCCUGCUUUUGUGGGGUGCUCGAGUGGCGAACGGGUGAGUAACACGUGAGUAACCUGCCCUUGACUUUGGGAUAACUUCAGGAAACUGGGGCUAAUACCGGAUAGGAGCUCCUGCUGCAUGGUGGGGGUUGGAAAGUUUCGGCUGUUGGGGAUGGACUCGCGGCUUAUCAGCUUGUUGGUGGGGUAGUGGCUUACCAAGGCUUUGACGGGUAGCCGGCCUGAGAGGGUGACCGGCGACAUGAGGACUGAGAGAGGGCCCAGACGCGAAAGGGAGGCAGCAGGGGGGAAUAUUGCACAAUGGGCGGAAGCGGGAGGCAGAAACGCCGCGUGCGGGAUGACGGCCUUCGGGUUGUAAACAGCUGUCGCCUGUGACGAAGCGUGAGUGACGGUAAUGGGUAAAGAAGCACCGGCUAACUACGUG